rnacentral:rRNA from 1 species
UACGUAGGCAGCAAGCGUUGUUCGGAUUUACUGGGCGUAAAGGGCGCGUAGGCGGCAGAUUAAGUCAGCUGUGAAAUCUCCGAGCUUAACUCGGAACUGUCAGCUGAUACUGUUUUGCUAGAGUGCGGAAGGGGCAAUCGGAAUUCUUGGUGUAGCGGUGAAAUGCGUAGAUAUCAAGAGGAACACCUGAGGUGAAGACGGGUUGCUGGGCCGACACUGACGCUGAGUGCGCGAAAGCCAGGGGAGCAAACGGG